AACGCACAUUGCGCCCUUUGGUAUUCCGAAGGGCAUGCCUGUUCGAGCGUCAUUAUCACCCCUCAAGCUUUGGGCUUGUUGUUGGACCUUGGUCGGUAAUACGACCGGUCCCAAAGACAAUGACGGCGUCUGUGGGACCCUCGGUGCAAUGAGUUUUUCACGAAACACGCACUGCAGCGGCUCGACAACCCCGGUCACCACCUUUAAUUUUUCUUUAAGGUUGACCUCGGAUCAGGUAGGAAUACCCGCUGAACUUAA
rnacentral:misc_RNA from 1 species